GGGGAUAGUGGCGGAUGGUGAGCACAUUCUAGACCAGAGAGGAGAACAGAAUGUGUGAAAAGGUUCAAGAGAGGUGAGAAAAUACAGCUUAUUGGGGGUAUCAAGAGAUAUCAAAGUAAGAUCUCAGAACAGAGGAAAUGAGGGGGAGUGUUGGGCAAUGAGCAUGAAGUGUAAACACAGGUGUACCCGCCAGGAAGAGCUUGUGCACCGAGUGCAACCGGUUGACCUUGAAGUUCGGGAAGUCCUGAGCCCUUGCUGCAGCCACCAGAGGACAUGCCCUGUGUAGAAAAUAAUCUCGUCUGCUUUACACCCUGCCUCCCGGAGGACCUGCCGCAGAGACCAGAUUCCUAAUUACCUGUGACUGGAAGCAGAACACGGUGAUGAACCCCAAAGGCAAACACCCCACCAAUGAGACCCUGUCAGCAUCAUAUGCAAGCAGAUUUCUCUACUGACCGCUGGAGCCUUACUGGAGCAUCCCAUCUCACAAACCUUGUUGAAUACCUACAUGAACAAGACUGUUUAGUGAAGGUAAGCUGACUGCUACAACCACAGUGAACUAUAACAAUUUGCAGUGGUUUAACACAGCAGAAGUGUGGGUCUAAGUUUGUGGUG